rnacentral:rRNA from 1 species
AGACCCGAAACCCGGUGAUCUAGCCAUGGGCAGGUUGAAGGUUGGGUAACACUAACUGGAGGACCGAACCGACUAAUGUUGAAAAAUUAGCGGAUGACCUGUGGCUGGGGGUGAAAGGCCAAUCAAACCGGGAGAUAGCUGGUUCUCCCCGAAAGCUAUUUAGGUAGCGCCUCGUGAAUUCAUCUCCGGGGGUAGAGCACUGUUUCGGCUAGGGGGUCAUCCCGACUUACCAACCCGAUGCAAACUGCGAAUACCGGAGAAUGUUAUCACGGGAGACACACGGCGGGUGCUAACGUCCGUCGUGAAGAGGGAAACAACCCAGACCGCCAGCUAAGGUCCCAAAGUCAUGGUUAAGUGGGAAACGAUGUGGGAAGGCCCAGACAGCCAGGAUGUUGGCUUAGAAGCAGCCAUCAUUUAAAGAAAGCGUAAUAGCUCACUGGUCGAGUCGGCCUGCGCGGAAGAUGUAACGGGGCUAAACCAUGCACCGAAGCUGCGGCAGCGACACUGUGUGUUGUUGGGUAGGGGAGCGUUCUGUAAGCCUGUGAAGGUGGCCUGUGAGGGUUGCUGGAGGUAUCAGAAGUGCGAAUGCUGACAUAAGUAACGAUAAAGCGGGUGAAAAGCCCGCUCGCCGGAAGACCAAGGGUUCCUGUCCAACGUUAAUCGGGGCAGGGUGAGUCGACCCCUAAGGCGAGGCCGAAAGGCGUAGUCGAUGGGAAACGGGUUAAUAUUCCCGUACUUGGUGUUACUGCGAAGGGGGGACGGAGAAGGCUAUGUUGGCCGGGCGACGGUUGUCCCGGUUUAAGCGUGUAGGUGUGUGUUCCAGGUAAAUCCGGUUCACUUUAACACUGAGGCGUGACGACGAGGCACUACGGUGCUGAAGCAACAAAUGCCCUGCUUCCAGGAAAAGCCUCUAAGCAUCAGGUAACAUCAAAUCGUACCCCAAACCGACACAGGUGGUCAGGUAGAGAAUACCAAGGCGCUUGAGAGAACUCGGGUGAAGGAACUAGGCAAAAUGGUGCCGUAACUUCGGGAGAAGGCACGCUGACACGUAGGUGAAGUGAUUUACUCACGGAGCUGAAGUCAGUCGAAGAUACCAGCUGGCUGCAACUGUUUAUUAAAAACACAGCACUGUGCAAACACGAAAGUGGACGUAUACGGUGUGACGCCUGCCCGGUGCCGGAAGGUUAAUUGAUGGGGUCAGCGCAAGCGAAGCUCCUGAUCGAAGCCCCGGUAAACGGCGGCCGUAACUAUAACGGUCCUAAGGUAGCGAAAUUCCUUGUCGGGUAAGUUCCGACCUGCACGAAUGGCGUAAUGAUGGCCAGGCUGUCUCCACCCGAGACUCAGUGAAAUUGAACUCGCUGUGAAGAUGCAGUGUACCCGCGGCAAGACGGAAAGACCCCGUGAACCUUUACUAUAGCUUGACACUGAACAUUGAGCCUUGAUGUGUAGGAUAGGUGGGAGGCUUUGAAGCGUGGACGCCAGUCUGCGUGGAGCCGACCUUGAAAUACCACCCUUUAAUGUUUGAUGUUCUAACGUGGACCCGUGAUCCGGGUUGCGGACAGUGUCUGGUGGGUAGUUUGACUGGGGCGGUCUCCUCCUAAAGAGUAACGGAGGAGCACGAAGGUUGGCUAAUCCUGGUCGGACAUCAGGAGGUUAGUGCAAUGGCAUAAGCCAGCUUGACUGCGAGCGUGACGGCGCGAGCAGGUGCGAAAGCAGGUCAUAGUGAUCCGGUGGUUCUGAAUGGAAGGGCCAUCGCUCAACGGAUAAAAGGUACUCCGGGGAUAACAGGCUGAUACCGCCCAAGAGUUCAUAUCGACGGCGGUGUUUGGCACCUCGAUGUCGGCUCAUCACAUCCUGGGGCUGAAGUAGGUCCCAAGGGUAUGGCUGUUCGCCAUUUAAAGUGGUACGCGAGCUGGGUUUAGAACGUCGUGAGACAGUUCGGUCCCUAUCUGCCGUGGGCGCUGGAGAACUGAGGGGGGCUGCUCCUAGUACGAGAGGACCGGAGUGGACGCAUCACUGGUGUUCGGGUUGUCAUGCCAAUGGCACUGCCCGGUAGCUAAAUGCGGAAGAGAUAAGUGCUGAAAGCAUCUAAGCACGAAACUUGCCCCGAGAUGAGUUCUCCCUGAGACUUAGA